rnacentral:rRNA from 1 species
ACAUGCCUACAACAUAACAUUAAUGCACUAUAUCCCAUUAAAACUCUGCAAUUAAACAUGCUCAGGCUAGAGUAGUACUAGGAUGGGUGACCGCUCGGUAAGUCCUAGUAUUUUACAUGCC